UUUAGGCAAAGGCAAAAUGGAAUUCUAAGCGUCACUCGAGUCAAAAACGUUCGAUUCCAUUUAUUUGCUAUGGACUCACGCUGGUGUUCCAGUUUAGCCAACGUUCUUUUGCCUUUUUUCAGCCUUGGGUGAAUUUGGACUCGUUCUAUUUUCCAGCCUACCGCUGGUGUGGAUGCUCGCCAAGGUUUCGAGUUGUGUAUAAUUUUUUAGUUAUGGUCCUUGGUGUGGAUGGCCCUUUAUUAACUUCAAUCGUUMUGCAACGUCACGGGCAGUUUUGUAGACAAGAUACAACAAAUGAGUGGAUUGAGUAGCCUUCAACUAAUAAACCAAAUGUACAACACUGGUAAAGUACCUUGCGGAUGGGUUCCAGUCUGGACCGUCCAGAACUGGAGGGCCUAGUCCAAGAUCUUGACAGACUGGGAUAGAAACUGGAACCUUGGAGCCAGACUCUGGAGACAGCACCAGGACAUUGGGGUCAACCCAAAGCAGACCUUUCCAGCUGGACGGCCUGAGACCACACUCGCUCUCUGUGUAUUGCAAGGCCCCACUGCAUGCGCCUCAGUUCAGCAUGUAGCUGUGGGGAGUUAUUGUUUAAGCAGUUAUUGUUGAACCUCCCCCUCCCCCGUUGUUCUGCAUCACACUCAAUCUCUGUGGCGGAGGCAGGGUGGUCUCCAAAUUAGCUAUAUAGGCUGGGUAAUAUUUCUGACUGUAUCUUAGUCUCGUCGACCACUGCCAAGGUGCUUCUCUGUCAACCAAACCAUGUAGUACAGGCAAAAACACAUAACUAAUGAGGAGAUCCCAGCAAGACACGGAAAUAUCACACAGCCAUUCUAAUGAAGAAAGUGAUCCAGAGUGGAGCCUUGUAAAACACUACACCGAUAACUGCCGUAAAUACACAGAUCCACAUGCUCAUUUCUGUUUCCUUGAAUUAAAAUGUAAAUGUUGUGAACGCUAUAGGCGGAGGCCUUUGGAGACUGUGUGGGUUUGUGGCCACACACYAUCCAUCUGUCAGUAUAUCUCACUCCAGUAAAAGGAUGCUGUCAGAAACAACAACAUAUUUCAGCAUGCAGAAAAAUGAUCCAACUCUUGAUGUGUGUGUCUUUCAGAGGAUAAAUACUUUUCAGCUUUUCCUAACUGGAUCAACUUAAAGGGCCAAUAGUGAUAAGCCAGGGAUUCCAUGAAAAACCUCAGCUCUGUAGUUCUCUGAAAACCUCCUCGGUCAACGAUUCCAAGAGAGGGAUGAAGGCAGACAGUGCCAAAGACCUCCACCACCAGCCUCUCUUCUCUCUAAUAUCUGUCAAAAAAUAAAUCAAAACGAUCUGAAGACAAAUGUCUCUGUGCUGGAUGUUGCAAAGCCAAGCGUCUCUUCUCAAUCUGAAUGCCAGUAUCUCAUAUGAAUUUCAAUUAUUCUUUUAGAUAUGCAUCACCUCGCGCGCGGUCUGUGUCAGGUUAUAAAUCAGCAGCCCACACUCCUGAUCCAGAGCCCAAUGCUGACAUCAGCAGCGUCCGAUUCGAUGGCAGUGGGAUCGGGGUUAUCGACCGAGCCAGGGGGCUAGAAAACAAUACAAACUCUCAGGCAAGGCACCCAGUUGCACCAAGCAUGGCAGAGCAUCUGCACAGCACAUGUCAACUUUUUACACCAAGAGUAACAUGUAAAUACUUUUCUAACCCCGGAGAAUCCUCACGUGGCCACGUGUCAUAUUAUGUCUUUCGGAAAGAGAGAGGAGAAGUUGUGUGUGUGUUUGUGUGUGUGUGUUGUAAGUAUGUAUGUUCAUUUGAUGCUGGAAUCCUGUAGUUGGUACACUUCAGUAAUAUUAUCCACUCAGAAAAAGAGAGAGAAUAUUUGACUCGCUCGGCCCCAACUCUACAGUACCUCACCAAACUCUGUUCCCAUGCUCACUCCUCAUGACAUGCAUAGCUUGAUUUCCCCUCUGCAAUUUUCUCUGAAAACAUGACAUUACAGGGAAUGCCUUGUUAUCUCCAAAUGUGUGGUCAUGGACACUCUUACUGGAAAAGACAUGUGAAAUCCAAUAACUCCAUGAGCAUGCUAUUUAGCAAUGGCUUCUGUCGAAGAUGGGAUGGGAUUCAUUUAUACUUCUUCGUCUGGAUUCGGAAUUUCUGGAAUGAUUGCAGUUGCAUAUAUUUAUGUAACUUAGUUGAAGGCUCAGAAGAAAACCAGUCUCAAAACAAUUGGAGGAAAGUAAUUAUGAGAGUGAAAAGGGCCAUAACUCCUCUAAAUGGUAAACCUCAACUCUGACCCCCAGGAGGAUGUAGAAGUGUACCAUGUUUCAAGCUGUAGCAAUAGCUUUGGGCUAAAGGUCAGACCACUACUGCUCAGGAUACCGUUACUGAGAAGGGCCACCAUCUGUGAGGGUAGCUCUUAAAGGACACUCAAAUUUAGGCUCUACUCAGAGUAAACUUAAUCAGUGCCAGUAUAAAGUUAUAUGAGGAAAUCAACAUCCAAACAUGAAAGAGGCUCUCUACAGUAGAUGACAGAUUGGUCACUGUAUGGCGUAUCAUAUGUGCGUGAGAAGUCACAAUUCAAAGUCUGAAUCUGUAUCCUUUCGUUAAGGUUACAGUAACUGAUAAAGAAGAAAUGAUGUUCCAUGGUGCAGCAUAAUAUCAAGCACCUUUUUAAAAUUUCAAAUAAAGGUUGGCAUUGAAA